UGAAACCUCAAUUUUAUAAGA
rnacentral:piRNA from 1 species